GAGAGAGCAAGGAGACUGAGUAGCGUGGGCUUUGCUUUUCCCCUCUUGAAGUGAAUUUUUGAGGUCUUGAUUUGGGCUUGACUCCACUUACCCGAUUAGUCAAGAGCACUCGCGUGAAAACUUGGUGGCGUGUUCGCUACAGAUUUAAUUUAGGAUCCCAGUUUUCCCGUUCUCAGAUCCAUUUGAAAGACACAGUACUGCGACAGCAAUGGUGUGCUUUGUCCUUUUUUAGUUAUUUUGUUUGACUUCAAUGGACUCCGUAACAAUGCGAUUCACAGUUGUGAGCACCUGUCAAACCCGUGACAGGCUUGCGUGCCCGUCCCACCUUUGCCAUGGCUGCGGCAGCUCUGAGCAGCAGGCGCUCUGUUUUGGGGCUGGAUCUGGGGCUGGACUGGGCUGCCCUGCUUUUUGUCACUCAACACACUUCGAUACCGCUCCCCAGGCUCGCAUGUAGAUCCCGUCUGGCUAAUAGCAGCCAACAGGGACUUGUGCAGAAAUGUUUUUGCUUAAAAUAGACUGAUGACUUCUUUUCACACAACCAACGAGUCUAAAACCGGGACGAAGGAGGAGUUAAAAUACUUGCUGAUGCUGUGUUUAUCAGGAGAACUUUGGUAACACCUUUGAGUCAUGCACUGUGAAGUGAAAGAUGGUGUCCGUCUCGUACACGGUUCUGUAUUUUCAGAUUUGGGUCUGGUUUGGAUGACCCGUCUCACUGAGGAGUGACGCUGCCAUACAGAGAGGGUGUCUGCAGUAACAAACAGAAACAAGUGCCUUAGUUCAGCUCUCCUUAUGUUACAUUUUGCACCACAUUUCUCAAGUAUUUAUAAUUUAUACAGCUUUUUUGCUACAUAUUUUUCUGUAUUUGUAUGUUGCUGGGAAAGGACUUUGUUGUGCACACAGCUGGACUUCAUGGCGCUGGACACUUGAAUUGAUUUUAUAGUCUUCACUCUUGCACUGCAAGCCUAGAGGUUGACUACUACUGGGUGUCCCAACUCUUGAAAUUAAGCAAAAACUACCAAUGCAAAUGGGUUUGUAAGAAUAAAAAAAAAGUUUUAAAAAAAGCCAUAAAGCUCACCAUUACACUUACUUUCUUCCUUUUUUAAUUUUUUUUUUUCUAUUUAGCAAAAUGUAACAGCAGGCUUCACAGUUUUGCAACCUGUGGUGUGUGUGCCCUGACCAGGGAUGAUCCCAUCUGUCUGUAAGCGAUGUUUAGGGCUGUAGCUGACAAUGACUGCGGUCCUGCCACAGCCAUGAGGCAAAUGACCCUUAUCUCAAAAUAUGGGUUAUUUUUGGUUAAUGAAGAACAAUUGCCAGAAUGCAGAAGAUGCCCUGAAAUGGAUGUAUGGUCUUCAGUAAGACUAUGGAAUGACAUUUUUCCUUUUUUGAAACAGAGAUUUCUCAGGCCUUCAUUUCCUCUGAAGAUGUAAAACAUCUUAAAGGCUAUCCUGACAACAUUAGAAAAAACAGCUAUUGAUAAGAUUCCCCAUACUUGAGAAUAUUUUCAAGCCUACAUCUGACCUGCCUUUUGAGAUGGCUGGAACAGACCCAGAGCUAAAAGCAGGGAGUCUGCUGGGGGAAAGACGUGAAGCAGAGGGAGCUUCAGACUAAAGGUGCUGCAGUUCUGCUCACAUGCGCACUGCUGCUGAAACACAGCCUGUCCUCCCUCCUCCCAAAAAAACCUGUGCAUACAGCACAGUGUGAGAAUACAGCCAGGGACAAGGAGGUGUUUAAUUCCUUCGGAAACCAUUCUGCUGUUACACUGUAUCAGUUGCUUUGACAACGCACAGAGGGAGAGCUCUGUGCAGGCAAACAGAAGUUCCUACUGUUGUCCUUCAGGUUACAUGUGAACUCUCGCCAAGAAGGUUUUAAGGGAGAAUAGUGAACUCUGCUGUUUCCCUACACAAGUUUGUUUUAAAUCUGUCAUGCAUUACAGGAUUACAGGAUGUUACAUGGGAUAACCUGGUAUGAAUUAGCCUUUCUUCAGAUUGCUGCAUCAAUGAAAUAGUGUGCUCUUAAGCUGAAAUAGUGUGCUCUUAGUGUAGUGUCAAGAUUGAUCCUUCAUUUAAGUACAAUAUAAUAUUUGGGAUUUCUGGAGCCCGUUCCUUAUUCUGUGCUUUGUUUAUUAGUUGCCUCAGAGAAGAAGGAAACAUCGCCAGAAAAAGGACUGGAGAGCUCUCUCCUUAACAGAAUUUAAAGGAGCAGUCAUGUUCUGAUGGCUGUGUCUGGGCAGAGGUGGUACCAUGAAGAAUCCUGGCUAGCUGUGCCUAGUGAUAGAGGCCUGGAAAUGUUCUCAGGUCCACUGUAAACAUCGAUAUCCAGAACAUGUGACAUUUCUGUGUGCUUUUCAGAUGUGUGACCUGAAAUUCAAAAUGCAGGAAAGUACUCACUGAGGCUAGAUACUAAAAUCUUCUGAGUGCUUCAGAAAUUUGGUGCCAAUUGAAAAUCUUGCCAACUGAGAUAAUUAAAGCACAACAUUUUUGUUGCUUUGAUGCCUGGUGAAAUGCUUUUAUUUGUUAUUAAGAAUUCUUUUUGUAAAAGGAAGGGGAAAACCUCUAGAUGGGAGUCAGACAUAGUCACUUUUUGAUAGACAGUACAUUUCUGUGCUCUUAGGACUUUACAGAAGCAUAAAUUUGCAAAGCAGGGUUCAAAGACAGCCUACUCACAAUUGUCUGUAUUUUCAUAGCUGGGGUUCCUGAGGGCUAUGGAAAUGUAAGGCUUUAUCAGAGAUUACACUGGGCAGCAGUUGUAAAAAUCCAACUGGACCAUGUGUGUACCAAAGGCUUGCAAGCCCACAUCAGCAAACCCCAGGGCUCCUGCUCCUGGCCAUAGGUUGAGACACAUGGCAUAAUUCCAACAUUAUUCUCAAAGGAAUAUAAUCAAAAUGUAGUUGUUUUAAUUCCAUUAAAAGCUCAAGGCCAGUAGAGUGAAAUGUUAAGUGAAGCACUCCUUCUGUUUGGUUGCAUUACUGUUAAUGUAUUUCAUAAAGAUUCAAAGCAUAACUUUUGGAAGAUGUUCUCAUAAACAUGUUCCCUCCCCUAACCUAAAUAAGAAAUUUAAGGUUUAUUGCACUUAUGGAGAAACUCCAGCUCCAAAGAUUUUUAUUCUAUGCAGAUUUCUGUUCCCCCACCGUGGAUUAAGGACUUAGGGUAGGAAUAGCUGCCAAAUGGCUUUAUAGGUGUAUAUAAAUGAAUAAUGUUUAAUAUAGUUGAAACUCUGUAGGGGUAACUGUGAAGGACAUAAAAGGUAAAUCUUCCUUAAGCAAUUUUUUGCCAUGUACACUUACUUUUAAAUUCAGAUUUAAAUGAUUCAGGAAAGGGCUGUGAAGCUAAAUUUACUUUGGUGUCAUGAAGAUAUGUAAGCUUGCAUGAAAACUACUUCUGUUUUAUUUAAAAUUGGAGCUUUCAGUCAGUACUUGGAAAGCCUGGCUUCUGCUCCCAUUGGCUUCGCUGGGAUUUGGAUCCAGCCCAAAGUACUGCAGGAAGGUAAGGGAAAUGAUCUAGGUUUAAUUGUCCAUUCUGUUCAGAGUCUUGUGUUGUGGGGUUAGGAUAACAUGGCACUGUGAUGAAUGUUCAUCUGUCAAGAGUUCAAAAUCUGCUGUCUGUGCAUGGCAGUAAUUAAAUCACCUUAAUUGUUUUUUCAUGAUUCUUUCUGAGAGAGGGAAAAUUACUUGCCUUGGAUUAGCAUAUUGCCAAAGACUGUUAUAAAUAUUUAUGGGGAGUACUCUUUCAAUAGAAAGCCUGUACAUUCUUCACAGGUCUCCAUAGUUCUUUUUCCUGAAUACAGAAGAGUAGUUACUUUAAUGCACUAAUUACCAUCAUCUCCCCCUCUUGCAAAGCUUCAGUAGAUACUGGUUUAACAGCAAAAAAGGUAAGUCCUUUAGAAAGAAGCAUCUCUUGCAAAACAUAUUUAAUUAUCUCUGUAAGCUGUGGAAUCUUUUUGAAGGUGCAUAUGUUUAUGAAAUGGGUUUGUGAAUUCCAAAUUUUUUCCUUUUACCGUUGUAGAAAAUACAUGGUUUUGGAAGAA